UUUUCCGGUUAAAACAUCCUUUAAAACACUUUAAAUCUAUUUGUGUACUUUUUCUUACAAUCUCAAUAUCUACAGUCUGAGCCUGUUUUACAUGUCAGUUUGUAGUCCCUCUAGACUCUUGCUCUUGGAGGUGUGCUUCCUUAUAUGUUUGAUGUUUUGUUAGGAGCUCAUAUUGGGUUAAACCUGAAUUUUCUGAAUGCUUAAGGGCCCAAAUUGAGAAGAUUUGUCUUGGCUUCUUCUGGGUGCUAGGGGACACUACUAACCUGGAACUAUUUCUAUUUAUUUCUCAGAUUUGGAUUUUUCAGACUCUGAGGAUGGUAUAAAUUCAAACCACAGGACUACAUGAGACUAGGGCUAUGAUUAUAAAUUAGUGGGGAAAAUUAUUAGUAUUAAUGUUAGCUUUCCACUCAGUUUUGCUAAUUCUGCGUAUUUCUCAAAUAUCUCUUCUCCCCAUUCUUAGUGUCACCACAGACACCUUAGUUUUCUUGUUGGUUCUUUUUGCCAGCAUACUGAUUCUUCUGAUAUAGAUAUAGCCCUUUUAGCUUCCUGGCUUUAUGUGCAGUUCUUAGAUUUAGCUCCCUGACCUUGUCAGGUCUGAAUACUAUUGCUUGUUGGGGCUGAUGACCAACAAAGCUUUAGAUUUCUGGGUCAGGCAUAUUUUUAGGGCAGUCCUAGUUUCUAUGUUGGCUUUCCAUCAAAUUUUGGCUCUAGAAUCUCUUCCUUUUUUCCUACCUUCCUUCCUCUCUUUCUUUUUUGUCUUUUUCCUUCUCCUUCUCUUCUUUGGUUAUUGGAGCUUCCCUUACUUUCUUGUUCCUGUGAGCUCAGCAAUACAUUUAAAGGUGUAUUUGCUCUAAUUUAUCCAUCAUUUGAGUGCUUUGCAGGAGAAGGGCAUUUCAUAACAUCUAGCCUAGUUAAAUUACCAGAAAUGUAAAUCUUAACAGACUUUAUUUUAAAAAUUGGAUUCUGUUUCAGGGUUGCUUACAGAUUUUUAUAAUGGAAUCUCUGCCAAUCACUUUUUUGCCUUUUUCUUAGUAUUUUAAAAAAUAGCUCAUUAGAGUAAUGUAUAUACACUGUUUUGAAAGUCAGAUAGUAAUUUAAGUCUCUUAAUAAAAAGCAGACUCUUUUCUCACUUUCUCCUACCAAAAGUCCUGCUUACCAGUGGUAACCACUUUAACUUCCCUUGGCUAUUUUUGUAUUGUUGACCUCCUUAUUUUUAAAUAAUAUUCUUUUACCAAAUUUCUUGAUUUAUUAAUUUUAGGCAUUAUGUAUUGAUUUCUAACCAUGGAAGAUUAAGAUUAGGCUUUCACUAUCAUCUCCUUUCCUUCCCCCCAUAUUUCUAAUUGUUAUAAUUUUUGGUUAAAUCAAUGUUCAAUAUUUAUAUUAAAUAGACUACAUAAAUAUUGUUUACUGCUGUGCCAAUAUACUCCAUGUUUCCUUUUUCAUACAACUUUUUGUUUUUUCAAUACUCAAUUUUCUCAUUAUCUGGUCUUCUAUAUACAUAGUCUUUCAAGCCUGCUUACCACCUGGUUAAAAAUCAUCAAAUAAUCAUUUGCAGUUCUUAGCCCCCAUGCCUCACCAUCACUUCUUGGGUCUGUUUUGUGGGGCUCACUUCCCCUGUCCUCUUCUGCAAGUGCUUAACCUGAUAGUUACUUCUGCUCUGCUAAGUCAGUUACCACUCUUCAAUUUGAUUUCUGUCUGCCAGAAGUUCUUUGGCCUCUCUUAUGUAUCCUCUCUCCUGUCAUCUUCAGUAUUUAGUUUCUUUUUCCUUUGACUUUAAUGGAAUUUUGGGUGAGAGAAGAGAUAAACAGGUAUGUUUGAUCCACCAUAUUCAACUGGAAACUUAAUUUUAAAUGUGAGAGGGCGUGGUCCAUUUUCUCAUUAAUAUUUCUAUAGAGAUCUCAAAUUUUUAACAACAUACACAGUUGUUUCUUCAUGUUUUUCACAUGUUAUACUUAUUGUCCCAUUAUUGUACAUGUAAUAUUGUGCACUGAAAUUGCCUUUGUCAGAUGAUUUCCCUUACGUUUUGUGAAGGAAAUUCACUUGCAUGAGUUCUCAGAACUCCUUUCAGAGACAGAACUGAUGCCCAAAGUUCGGGGAGGGUUAUCACCAAUGUGGCAUAAAUCUGUUGUGAAAAAGGUGUGUUUCCUGGGUGAUAAACACCAGAAGAUAGCUCUGCAGUAUAGAAAAAUGAAAAAGCUGUUGGUUUAAAAAUUUUUUCACAGAUAGUAAAAUGGACCAUAUUAAGAGACAUAUUCAGCAAAUAUAUAGCAAAUUAGAUGAGAAAUUUUCUUUCAAUAGUCAUUUCAAUAUGUAAACAAUAUAAACAAAUUAUUAAUGAGACAUCUUUCAUCCUUUUUUGGUACUGUCUUCAAAAUCCAGUAUAUAUUUUAUACUUGCAGUACAUCUCAAUUCAGAUAACCACAUUUCAAGAUGCCCAAUAGCCACUUGUGGCUACUGGCUAUCAUAUGUGACAACACAGGAUCAAAUUAUGAAGACAUUUCAGGAUGCUUGCAGAACAAAGUCCCUCAACAUACAUUCAUCAGUCACCUUACCUUCUCAGGUGUCUCUGGGGCAAGUGUCUCCUUUGUGAUUAAGCUGAUCUGGCCAGCAAUGCUGAGAUGCUCGAAUGUAAGCUCUAUACCCAGGGGACAAAAAAUUCUAUAGAAUGGAGUAUACAUACACCUGUUGGUCAGAUUAUUUGCCCUUUUCAGUAAAGACUACUGACUAAGAACCAGUUGAGGAUCACAUAUAGAAAAUGUUUGAGAUUUUCAGAGGAAAAAAUAGAAAUAAUCACUUUAAAAAUGAAUUUCAGGGUAAGAACACAAAUUCAUUAACUCAAUGUAGAAAAUCAUAUUAAUCAUUUAUAAUGAGUGUCUGCAAUUUGCUUAGAGAGGGGAGAAUAAGAAUUGGGUCCAAGCCCCAUAUUCCUUUCUUGUUUUUCAGCAUCCAUGCAGAGGGAAGAAGAAGAGCAAAGAGGGAGCAUUUGUAGGUUACCCAGCUUGAAAACUUUACUAGAAAGGAGUUCAUGUGACAGAGGACCUGCUCGCUCUUUGAAAAAUAGGUCACAUUGACUUCAUUGGUCCCAUCUGCAGACAUCAGCCAUCUGCACCCCUCAAGUCUGUUCUUCUUCAGUGGGUUACCUCUAAAAGACAAGGAACAACGUUGUGAGGUAUAUGGUAAGUUUUCCCCUUUACUGGUGUGAUACAAGAACAGGAUUCUCCAGACUGUUUUAAGAGUUCAUGUGUUUGGAAGAUCUGGCAAAAAUGGACAGCUACUAAUAUACCUUUGAAUGAAGCUGUACCCUCUACAAGAGGUUCAUCCUCUUUGACCUGUAGGUAUAUGUAAAAGAAUACUGAUUGGAGCAUUGUUUUUACAGUUAUAAAAAGGUGGAAAUAAUUGUAACAGAAUUAGUGAAUAACUUGUGAUACAUUCAUGCUAUAAAAAUAAAGACAGAAUGUGGAUGAAGUAAAGGUUCCUAUGGCCAGGAUCCUCACCUGAACCUAAACUACUUGAUGAUGUAACUGGCCUGCUGCUAGGCUACUGCUUCCACACCUGUAGGCAAUAAGCUAUUAUUGACUGAGUCACUAUAUAAAGAGCUCUGCUCAGUGCUCUGGGUGGAGGCAGAGAUGAAGGAGGAUUACAAGCCUGCAGACUGUUGGACACAGACGUAAUUCUAGUGCUCCACCUAUUGCUGGGAGAACAAGCUGGGUAAUAAACCCUUUCACCCCAAGAACAUUCCAUUGUCAUUUCUCGGUCUCACUGAA